rnacentral:lncRNA from 1 species
AUCACUAUGGUUACUUGCAAACAACUCACUAUGCUUUGGUGCUGGACUAUCUAAGUUUAUAAUUCAGUGAUGGAAGGUUUCUGGAUACAGUCAAGUACUUGUCAAGUAGGUGCAUGAGUUAAGAUGGGAUUGACCCCUCCGAAUUAGUAGGAGUUAAUGUAUCAAUGUAUUUUAAUUUAUUAAAAUCUGAGCCCAAAUAAUUCAUAUGAUGGAUUUGAAAGAUUGAAAUAUAAUUUGGAUGACUUAUCUAGGAUUGAUAAUUAAAUCUUAGGUAGGUUGUCCUCGAGUAUUAGGGUCAAAAGGAUGAAUUAUACGGUAACCAUACAUCAAUAAGUUCUUGAAUGUUACUUCACC